CAUGCAAGUCUAAGUAUAAGCUACUUAUACGGCGAAACUGCGAAUAGCUCAUUACAACAGUUAUAAUUUACACGAAGAUCAUUACCUAAAUGGAUAUCCAUGGUAAUUCUGGAGCUAAUACAUGCAUUCAACACCCGACUUCAAGGAAAGGUGGCAUUCAUUAGUUGACAGAACCAUCCGGGUUGCAAGACUCGAACUUGGUGAUCAUAAUGACGGAGCGGAUCGCAUUUUUUGCGACAGUUCGUUCAAGUUUCUGACCUAUCAGCUCCCGUCGGUAAGGUAUUGGCUUACCGAGGCUGUGACGGGUAACGGGGAAUUGGGGUUCGAUUCCGGAGAGGGAGCCUGAGAAACGGCUACCACAUCUAAGGAUGGCAGCAGGCGCGCAAAUUACCCAAUCCCGAUACGGGGAGGUAGUGACCAGAAAUAGCAACUUGGGGCAUUUGCUUCAUGAUUGCAAUGGGCGGAAAGCAAAACUGUUUGCGAGUACCUAUUGGAGGGGCAAAGUCUGGUGCCAGCAGCCGCGGUAAUUCCAGCUCCCAAUAGCGUAUAUUAAAAUUGCUGCAGUUAAAGCGUCCGUAGUUGGAUUUCGUUCGCACGGGUAGGAUGCCGAUUGAGUCUUUGGGCUCAUCGUGCGCUUUCCCUAGUGAACUUGAGCGAAGCAUUCAGAUCUCUGGAUGUUCUGCUCCGUUACUUUGAGCAAAUUGGAGUGCUCCAACCAGGCUUACGCUUGAACAGCUCAGCAUGGAAUAACAAGAUAGGACUUUGGUUCUUCUUGUUGGUGAUAUGAACCAAUAGUAAUGGUUGAUAAGGACAUACGGGGGCAUUUGUACUUGCUGGAGAGAGGUGAAAUUCUAAGACCCAGCAAAGACAAACAACUGCGAAAGCAUUUGCCCAGUGUGUACCUGUUAAUCAAGGACGAAAGUUGGGGGAUCGAAGACGAUUAGAUACCGUCGUAGUCCCAACUAUAAACUAUGCCGACUGAGGAUCGGAGGCCGUAACAAUACGACUCCUUCGGCACUCCAAGAGAAAUCUAAGUCUCUGGGCCCUGGGGGGAGUAUGGUCGCAAGGCUGAAACUUAAAGGAAUUGACGGAAGGGCACCACCAGGAGUGGAGCCUGCGGCUUAAUUUGAGUCAACGCGGGGAACCUCACCAGGCCCGGACAUAGUCAUGAUUGACAGAUUGAGAGUUCUUUCUCGAUUCUAUGGGUGGUGGUGCAUGGCCGUUCUUAGUCGGUGAGGUGACUUGUCUGGUUAAUUCCGAUAACGGACGAGACCUCGACCUGCUAACUAGCAAGCGUUUACAUACCGUAAGCGUUUGGCUUCUUAGAGGGACUUUGUGAGUCUAUCACAAGGAAGUUCGAGCCUAUAACAGGUCUGUGAUGCCCUUAGAUGGCCUGGGCUGCACGUGCGCUACAAUGACAGAGCCAGCGAGUAUUACCCUUCUCCGUUCGGAGUGGGCAAUCUUUUGAAACUCUGUCGUGAUAGGGAUUGACCCUUGCAAUUGUGGGUCAUGAACGAGGAAUUCCUAGUAAGGACAAGUCAUCACCUUGUGCUGAUUACGUCCCUGCCCUUUGUACACACCGCCCGUCGCUUCAACCGAUUGGAUGAUCCGGCAAACUGUACGGACAUUUGGAAUCACCUGGAGUUCCUCUAGGCUUUCGAGUGGAAGUACCGUGAGCCUUAUCAUCUAGAGGAGAAGAAGU
rnacentral:rRNA from 1 species